UAUGUGUAUAUGUUCGUAAAACUCUGUGUCCAACAUGUUGGUAUUAUUCCUAACGCAUGUUAUAGGUGUUUUACGCAUCGAUCAUUCGAUUGGUUCGAGCAUAUGACAUAUUCUAUAAAUAUGAAAAAUAAGCAGUUGUAGAUACCGAUUUUAAUGAAAUUAAACAUUUUUCAUAUAUUCCUGUAUUUUGACGUAAAAAUUGUCGCAGGAGUAAGUUCAUAACGUCUUUCAAAUACACUAUAAGCCAUGGUACAAUAUUUUGAAAAAACUGACUUCUUAAAAUUAGAUAAAUCUUAUGCCUGCCUCAAUUGUAUUCCCUUCAGAAAUUUAUAAAAUAAUACCUUCAUACAGGAUAAUGAAAGCACAAUGUCUCAUUCUAACGAGCGUUCAGUUCUCUGGAGAACGACCGUCAUUGAAAAAUCCUCGCGAGUUCUCGGACAAACUACAAAUUCGGGUUAAAAGUUACCGUAUCGACGAGCGGAACGUGCAAUUCGAAAUGCGCGAAAAACCGCACGAACGAGACCGUUGCAGAAGGGAUGUGUAAAACGCUCGCAUCGAAUUUACGAGUUUCCAAUUUUAAAGCAAUCGACGAGCGGAGAGCUGCUGCGAAUCAGAAACUCACGGCUCUUCUAGUUCCUCCAUUAUGAAACUUUGUAGCGUUGCCGCGCAGCCGGAAACCGUGGAACAUCAUCCUUUGAAAUUUUCGCGCGUAACGUAAGUACAAGCGCGUGCUUAGUAGUCUUGUUUCACCUACGUUCGUGAUUAGUGUUGAACAUUUCAGAGGAAUAUAUUAUUUAGUUCCCUAGGUUUAUUGGUCAGGUUUACAGUGAAUGAUGUAAGAAAUUAUAGAAUUCAAGAUAUUUUAUAAAGAAUAAUAUUUGUAACGUAACUAUGACACUCUUUUAUAAGCUUUGCACCCCGUCGUACUUUUACGUCGUACGGCAAUUUAAAAUCUGCUGUAUCCUAAUUAAAAUAAAAAUAGUUAUCUCAAUUUUAUAUAGUCCGUUUCAUAAUAAAAUAAAUUUAGGUGUAACAUGUAAAGUCUACUACAUCUUAUUCUCUCCGUAUCGAACCCAACAAUCAAUGUUCCCAUUAUCGUCAACGUUCCACUAGUUCAUAGUAUCGUUCGCGUCGUAGCGGAUUUUAAAACCUUCCCAUCCUUUAAAUCUUCUCGGUGUUUUCCUUUGCGCGAUUCGCUUUUAUUUCCCUUCGUUGCCACCCUUUCUGUCGGUUUCUCCCCCCGAUCCCACGCCUUGAAACGAACGACUUUUCCGCGGAGUCGAUCGUUUCCAUUCCGGAAUUUCUCAUCAAGGUUUCGCGCCGCCGCCGCGUAGCUAGCGGCUGAUUUGCUCGCCCAGGCUCCGCUCGUAAUGAGUUCCGCGCUUUGUGACUGCUCGCCGCUCGCGCCUUUUGUUCGCCAUAAUAAAAGGACUCGGCGUUGCCGACUUCAAUUAGGCUGCAGGUCGAAAGUCGCGCUCAGAAGUAUCGGCACGGUGUGAAGAACAUCGACAAUUACGUUCGACUUCGGUUGACGAAGCGAAGUCGGUUCGAUUGCGCUUGUUCAACCGGUAGCAGUCGCUUGUGGUAACCUGUUCGUCGAUCGAGAUGAAUCGUUCCGCGAAACUACUCCGUUGCAGACACGUUUUUACUUCUCAGGUGUAAUAAUUUCAUUCUGUAACUUGGUUCUUUUGAAGUUCCUGGCUAAAGCUAAUUCUCGAUACUUCAACGAUCCUUCAACAAUUCGUGGCUCGAUAAUAAUUUAUGACUUUUCUCUCAACUUUCCAACGAUUUCCAACGAUUCACAUUAGACUUGAACUAAUCGCACAUACAUACGUAUAUAUUUUUUAUGUGCAACCAGAUCUCCACGUAUACAUAGAGAUUUCUUCUUCUCCCGUCAUAGCACGAACAUCCGCUUGGCUUUCGAUUACGUAUUUGUCAUCCAUGCUAAUUAUCACUCACAAAAUCUGGAGUUCUUCUUAUUCUUCUUAUUAUGCUUGAAAUGUGGUAGCAUAAAUUGUAACUUGACGAGAUACGGAGUUAAUUUUUAAAAUAUUGGAAAUAUGUCACAUUAUGGGAUUGGAUUUCUGGCAUGGUAUUAUUACAUUAUUACUAACUCGAUGGAAUUCACAGAUUUGGACCCUAAUUUAUGUUUAUUUCAUUACUAGAUAUCUAACCUGUUGAUAGGCAUAUAUAGUAGAGUACAUAAUUGAGCUUUCCGAUGCUUAUCUAUAUCUGAAUAUAUAUAUGAUGAAUAAUUAAUCAAAAAUUUGUUGUAAAUACAUUACGUGUAUAAUAUAAAUCCUGAAACAGAUACCGAAAUUUGUAUAAACGAUAAUUCUCUAACAUUUAUACAUGGUACCUAAAAUCUGUCUCUUUGUUAUUUAUAUUUAUAUAGUCGUAUGAACUGCGAGGUCAGGUUCCUGAAAUUGACACCGUCACAUUCGAUCAUUCUUACCUCGUUCGACGAUAAUUAGCGGCACACACGAUGCAACAUUUUCGCGGAAAUUAGGCGACGAUUCGAAGCGGAUCGUCGUUGCUCGUUAGCCAACAGGAUUUUCCCGAAAAUUUCGAACAGUGACGCGUCUUCGUGGUGAAAUAUCCGCGGAUUACGCGACUAAUAUACGUCAGCGGGUUCAUCCUCCGCAGAAUUAUGAUGAAGAUGAAUUCAUUGUCUGUCCUCGCGCGGAUUGAAGUAGGUACACGUAAUUCAUCAACGUAAUUGAGCGCUGCUCGCGAGUUUAGCGACGGCGAAAGAGAGCGUAGUCUCUCUUUCCUCCCGCGAGCCAUUUCGUAAUGGCCCGUUAAUUUCAGCCCUUUUGUUUUCACAGACUUUGCUGCCAACUUUCUUCCGCGUGGAUACGCCGCGCGCGGCUUUCUUUGCCUUUCAACGCACGACACUGACCAUCCCUGUGUCUCUUGAAAAAUUCAACGAAUCCAGUAGAACGAUCCUGGCUCACGGUUAAUUGGCCUCCGACACUCCAUUUCGCAAAUUGCAAAAAGCAAUGCCAGGAUACUGUUGUACGUAGGUGCUGGCGUCGAGUGGCUGCAGCUUGUUACUGGAAAAUCGCUGGGACGGACGAAAGGAAUUCGAACGAUGGACGCGCUUACGCGUGUGACCAAGUGCAUCGUGCAGGGAAUCAGAAAUUAAGUCUGCUGGCAUGGCUGAUGUUGAACAAUUGUUAGUUUCGCCCCGUUCGUAUUAGCUGAGAUCGCUUUGACAAGAUGGUCGUCUGCGAGUCAAAUUAUUGAUUAAAUCGAAUUUAAAUUAUCGAAUGAAGAAAAAGGACAUUAUUGUGGAAAAUAAAUAGAGAAUUUCAAAAAUAUCUCAGUCCAUAUCGCGAAGGUGUUCUGUUACAGAAGAUGGUAUAACGAUGACUGAAUAAAUAUUUCAAGCAUCAAAUUGUUAUAUCUGAACAAGUACGAUGCGAUUAUUUCUUGAUAUUACGAGAUGAACUUCUCUAAAGCCUGAUAUUCGACGUUCUUUACAAGCAAUGUGGCAAGUCGACGCUAUAUUAGCCCUCAUCGAGAUCCUCUUUCGCAGACGAGAUCAUCAGACGCACCGGUUCACGGUCGUCGCGUACAAACAAUGAUUAUUAAGUUUGAGAUACGGGACUAGAUUGGCUGGGUAAAUUAGGCACAUUAGCCUGUAUGCACAAGGCCGAGAUAGUAACGCUCGUUGUUUCGAGACAGCAUCUUCGUUGCAAGGGAACGAAGAACGGUUGGAACGCGAGUCGCGCGAGAGGAAAAAGGCCAGGAACAAGAAAACUCCAUUACCCCGCUCCUUGCCAAGCAUUCUUGCUGGUGAAAGAUCUUGCUUCAACGAUCGCUAAUUUCUCGUAACAGAAUCCUUUCGACGCCCUUUUAACAUCCACGUCAGGAAAGAUCCUCGGGUUUCCUCGCGUACGCUGCUUUGUGUGAAGGAUAUGAUUGCCAAGAUACGAUCGCUUGAAAUGUUUCCUCAGCGACAUGACAAAAUGAGAAUUAGUUGGAAACACGGAAUUCUCUGUUUUCAUCUCUUCCGAACAACUUCCUGACAAAGUGGCUCGUUCUCAAGUGGAACGCAGUCGACGGCAACGAGUCCGAAAACACGAGGCAAACGUUGUGUCUGGCGAGCGGAAGGCACGCGUCUCCUUUGGCUUCGUAAUCUAAGCGGAGAGCGAACAGUGCCUAAUUCUCGUCCAAUUUCCAGCGUAGGGAAACCGGUUAACGGCACGACGCAACUCGUAGUAUUCGCUGAAACGAGUUUCGAUAAAGUUAACGCCGACCAGUACCGGCGACACUAUGCUCAGACGUUUAGAUAAGUUAACUGUCGCUACGAAUACACGAAUAUCCAUGUAUUAACAUGGAUGUAACAGUGUAUUCGUUUUUCAGCUUCCUUGCACGAUUGAGCUAAUAUCAUUAGAGGAAUUUCAUUAGUUCGAAGUAUUAGCGAAUUCUGUCGCACGAUGCUAAUAAUAAAUUCUUUUAUUUUUACUAUGCAAAAUAUAGCGUUUUGUAUAUAUUAUGUUAUCCAACUUAAUUUAAUAGAAAUAUAUUAACAUACAGAUGCGUUAUUAGUUGAAAAUGUGAAAAUACUAAAUUAGAAAUAGCUUUUGAAAAUAUCAUAUUGAGUAUAAAUUAGUUGGAAUAAAAUGUUCAAUGGAAUUUAUUACGCAAAGGGUAUUGAUAUCAUUUUCUUAAUUAUCGACUAAUCAGCAAAUUUGUUAUUUAUAUUAUUAAAUUAAAGUCAAGUAAAAAUAUUAAGGUUACAUCUAUCGAUCAAUCAUUUUGUUAAGAUCGUUUUGUUAAAAUGCACCAAUAAUGUGAAUUAUUUACCUUGUAACUCGUAAAAUUAUACAAUUAUUUGCACACCAGAAUUCUAUCAGCUACAACGACCAUAUGUACAGUAACUUGUAGAUUCACUGAUAUUAAUAACCACUAAUAUUAUUAUUGAAACAUGUAUAAUUUUAUGUGCUAGACUAGGUUAGAUGCGUAGUAGUGAUACUUGUAUGUGAAUAUCAGUGUGUAGAAGUAUGUGUGUGCGCGGCGUUUCGAAAACAAAUGAAUGUAAAGUGUUCAGUCGGUUAACAGUCCGAUAUGGACGAAAGUGCUGAGACGCGUGCAAGUGUGUAUCGAUGAAUAUCUUUGAAAUCGCUUAUCAAAUAAAUAUAUAACAAUUCUAAUAUGAAUUCUAAGUGUAAAUUUGGUGUUCCUAUACCAUUAUUUUGGCUAUUAAGAUCCAAAAUUUUCAACAAUUAUUGUACAAAAAGGCCCAGCUUCCGACGCUCGUGGCUUGAUCCAUCCCUUCGUGUUAUCCUUGGGUAUGUUUACUCCGCGGAACAGUUGGCUCCGGCAGUGAUAUCCGUCGUCCUAGUCGUCUACGACGCGAAAGCAAACUCAUCACGAUCGUCGUAUGCAAUCUGCCGGAAAGCGAACCUCCCGGCGACUCGCGGAAUUGCUUGCGAUGACGCAAAUUGUGUUGACAGCCCGGGAAAGCCUCUGGCUUCUUUUUUCACCCUGCUAGCCCUUCCGGUACUGC